rnacentral:rRNA from 1 species
GAUGAACGCUAGCGGCAGGCUUAACACAUGCAAGUCGAGGGGUAUAGAAAGCUUGCUUUCUAGAGACCGGCAAACGGGUGCGGAACACGUACACAACCUACCUUUAUCAGGGGGAUAGCCUUCGGAAACGGAGAUUAAUACCCCAUAGUAUUAUGGAGUGGCAUCAUUUUAUAAUUAAAGAAUUUCGGAUAGAGAUGGGUGUGCGUAAGAUUAGCUAGUUGGUGAGGUAAAGGCUCACCAAGGCAACGAUCUUUAGCUGAUGUGAGAGCAUGAUCAGCCACACGGGCACUGAGACACGGGCCCGACUCCUACGGGAGGCAGCAGUGAGGAAUAUUGGUCAAUGGACGGAAGUCUGAACCAGCCAUGCCGCGUGAAGGAUGAAGGCGUUCUGCGUUGUAAACUUCUUUUAUUUAGGAAGAAACCACUUUUUUUAAGAGUGUUGACGGUAUUAAAUGAAUAAGCACCGGCUAACUCCGUGCCAGCAGCCGCCGUAAUAC